rnacentral:lncRNA from 1 species
UGCCCACAUUUCGUUUAUAAUAUUUUACCGUGUAAAUUAGAAGAAGGAAACACAUAAAUACCUCCUAACAUAUGCAUUACUAAUUUGCCAACUCUUUAGAGUUUUUGAGUACUACGGUGGUUUAUCGUUCGUUAGGGUCGUUCGUAUUAUUCUCUACAGUGCUUUGUGUGUAUUUUUUUUUCAACAUAAUGUCCUCUCAGCUCCUUGCAUUUUUCUAGCCAUUUUUCAAAUUUUACAUGACUUCCAAAAAAUAGAAUUUUGUCCCUGCUUAAAAUAAACAUUUAUUUGUUUAAUAAUUUUCAUAUUUGAAGUAAAUCAUCCUCCGUCAAGCCAACUCGGAAAUAGAAAAGUAAGUAAAUUAUCAAUCUGGUGAAUACGGUGGAUUUUUUUACAUUUGCAAUUUUAAUUCUUUAAUGUUGCCGACUUUAAAUGUAGACGUUUUUCUUUGAUUUCCUCGCUCAACCAAUACAGAUGCAUAGUACGCCCCUAUUACCCUCUUUCUUUUUUCCAGUAGUCGAUGAAAAUGAAGCCCCCUAUCCCUGUCAGCAAUUUCACCAUUUUCGCAUUAUUCAGAACUCGGACGCCUUUGAAAAUCGACUGUGGUGAGUGUCUCUUCAUCUUUAGAGUGUCAUAGUCUCCGAAGAAACUCCGCACGAUUGUCAAGGAAGAGCGCUAAAGCAGUCUUAAAGUAGACCACAAAACUGCGCUUGUCCUCCUCUGUCAGAAAACGCGGCACCCAUCUUGACGAAAUUCGUGGAUGUUCAAAUUCAUGAAGAUAUGAAAUCCAUGGUGCCAGUGUUCUCAAAGGAAACUGUAGUUUCAGUGGGGGACAGGAGGAACAGCAUUCCAGAGCAGAAUGAUGAGAGUGAUUCCAUUAGUAGUGAAUAUGAUUCAGUAGAGUACGGUAUUGAAAAUGAUGUUUUUCAGGAUAACCCAAGUGAUGCAGACUAUGUACCUGAAUUAUCAGAUACAAGUUUUGACAAUAAUGGAAGCUUAGAGGCAGCAGCUCCAAGGAAAUCAACUAGAGAGAGGUCAGCUAAGAAGUACGAUGAUUAUGUUGUAUUUUUCUGUCCAACAACUGGAUACCCAGUCUGUACACCAGAAGUGUCGCAGAUGCUAUCUAGACCUGAUGGUAAUCAGUGGAGAGUGGCGAUGCAAGAGGAGAUCAAAUGUUUGGAGGAAAACGAGACAUGGGAGUUGGUGGAGCGGUCAAGUGAGUUUCCAGUUGUCGACUAAAUGUCGCCUAGAAGAAAUUAUACCUCUGAUCAAAUGACAGCUGCACUGGCGGAAGUAAGAAAUGGUGUACCAGUUGCAGUGGCUGCUCGAAACCACCAUGUUCCACGGACAACCCUACUUCAUAAGAUGCAAGGAAAGUCUGAAGUUGUUUGUACCAUGGGGCCCUCAACAAUACUUAGCAAGCAUGAGGAAUCCCUAUCUGAAAGACAUUUUCCUGUUUCAAAAAUGCAGCUUUUAGAUUCAGUUAAAAAAAUCAUGAGUCAUUCAGAACGGGCAAAAUCGUUUACUAACAAUAAUCGUCCUAGCGACAAAUGGUUUCUGCUAUUUUUUAAGGAGAGAUCCGGAAAUUUCACAAAGAAUAUCACAGAAUUUGACAACAUCCAGAGAAAGUGUAACUUCAGGACAAAUUCGUAGAUGGUUUCAGGAAAUAAAGGAGUAUCUAACGUCCCAUGAUCUCUAUCAAGUAACUGAUGACCCCAAAAGGGUAUUCAAUGCUGACGAAAGCGCGUUUUACCUCUCACCCAAAGAAGGAAAACUGUUAGCAAAAAAAGGAGACAAAAACAUUUAUCGUGCAGCAGGAGAUGAUAAAGAAAACUUAACUGUACUGGUAACAGCUAAUGCAGCUAGUAAUAUUGCACCGCCUAUGCUAGUUUUGGCCUAUGAACGAAUUCCAUCUGCCACAGCUUCAAGUGUGCCUAAAGAUUGGGCAUUGGGUAGGUACAUCCGAAAAUAGGUGGAUGUGUUCAAGCACUUUUUAUGAAUAUAUCACCAAUAUAUUCAAUCUAUGGCUCAUAAAAGAGGGGAUUCAAAAACCUGUUCUCUUUUUUGUAGAAGGACAUGUGUCCCACUUAACUCGCCAUUUAUCAACAUUCUGCAGUGAUAAUAGCAUUGAGUUGAUAGCUUUAUAUCCCAAUUCACAUCCUUCAGCCUAUGGACAUUGCAGUAUUUAGGCCCCUUAAAUUAGCCUACAGAAAUGAGGUACAGAAUUGGAGGAUGGAGAACUUUGGCAAUAGUCCCUGGAACACAUUAAACCAGAAACCAUUCAAAAUGGUUUUAAAUCUUCAGGUUUAUGUCCCUUUAAUAUUGACAAUAUACAUUUUAGUAAAAUUUCUGCCAAAAAUUACGAUUCAAGUGACAUCCCUGUAUAGCUGCUAUGGAUACAAACGCUACAAAAGAUAAGUCACUGCUUUGCCAACAUUCUUGGGAUGGUCCAGUGGAAGAUAAGCAUUUAUUCGAAAUUUGGAAAAAUUGGACACUAGAAAUAUGUUCAGAUGUUCAACAUGCAAAAGUAACAAAUGAAAAAGGGGCCAUGGACCCAGUUGCAGAUAAUCGAUUUAGCCAUUCUCCCACUAAUCUUGCUCCUGCUUCUGUUGCCGAAGAUCUUUGCACUCCAACAAAAAUAACUCAUGACCAGCCAAGCACCUCCUUUCAAACCCUUGAUGUGCAUCAAAUGUUCCAACUCCUUUUAAGAAGGCGUUAUUUUGGCUCGAACCAAAACCUCAAACAAAAAAAAAAGAAAA